UACGAAGGGAGCUAGCGUUGUUCGGAAUCACUGGGCGUAAAGCGCACGUAGGCGGAUGUGUCAGUCAGGGGUGAAAUCCCGGAGCUCAACUUCGGAACUGCCUUUGAUACAGCACGUCUUGAGUCCGAUAGAGGUGGGUGGAAUUCCUAGUGUAGAGGUGAAAUUCGUAGAUAUUAGGAGGAACACCAAUAGCGAAGGCAGCUCGCUGGGACGGUACUGACGCUAAGGCGCGAAAGCGUGGGGAGCGAACAGG
rnacentral:rRNA from 1 species